rnacentral:lncRNA from 1 species
AAAGUUAAGUCUGAAUGGUAUGUUGUACCAUUUCCUCCAAGACUAGAUCGUGAAAUUGUGUAUCUAACUAGAAGCUUUGAGAAUAUAAAAUGUCUCUCUAGAAGGAAUGAAGGUGCACACUCAUGACUUUUACCAGAGAUGAUUUUCCUUUCUUAAUUCUGAAGGUUUGGGGUAAGAAAGAGUUGGAGUCCCAUUGUUGUUUCCUGUAGAAAUCUCUGUCUUGUUCUUGCCUUUGUGGUGGUGUACUGUGCUCUAUAGUAGUAGAGGAAUGUAGAUUCAAGGAGAACUUGACCUGUAUACUUUCAUUGGUAUUGGUUUAGGCCUUUGAGACAAAUUUUUGCCUUGAAGAUAAGGAGUUAGAAGACCAGAGGUUAGGUUUUAAGGGAUGGGUGGAGAUAUUGGAAUUUAGAAGAAAUGUUUUUGGAUGAAGAAGUUUUCAAGAACAAAGUUCAAAGAUCAUAUAUCGUAUGAUUCAUAAGAAGCGUUGAGUUCAAAGGUCAGAAUAAGAGGAGCUUUGGAUGAGCGUUGGUGUGGCAAUGUCUAGUUCUGUGUAUCAGUAACGUCAAAGGUCAGAAAAAUGAAGGUGUUGGUGAGCAUUGGAGUAUCCAACGUUGAGAAGGAAACAUGGUGUAUUAUAUCAAUGAUGUUUGAGAUUUGAGGGAAAUAAGUGGUGAAAGGUUUAAAGCUUAUGUUAAGGAAGAAAGAGAAGUUUAUAGUGGACUAGAGGGACUUAAUGUUUAGAAAGAAAGGAAUUAGAAGAAGAAGAGUUUGAGAAGUAGUUGUGUAAGACAUAAAGCAUAUUUAAGGACUGUGUAUUAGAAGUCAGAAUUUUCCCAGUUGAGAGAACGUGAAGUCUUUGAAGAUAAUUGAAGUAUCGUAAGGGUUUUGAGUUAAGCGAUAAUUAGAAGGAGAUGGAUAGGUCUUAUCAACAAGUGGAUUUGGAAUAUCCAAUUUUAGAAGGAUGUUUCAAGAUUAGUGGUUCGUUUAGAAGAAAUGUUUGAUCAUUGGCUGAGACGAGAGAUUUCAAGCAUUGAAGGAAGGAGUAUAUCAGGAUGUUAGUUUGAUAAGAAAGGGUGAGGAUAAAGAAUUAAGAGCAUGGUGAAUGAGGAACAAAGAAGAAAGGUUUUAAGAACAGAUGGCAAAGGGUGGUUACAGUAUAAGUUGCUAAAGAGGGUAUCGAGAAUAAUUGGAGAGUUUGGGUUGAUUGAGACGUUCAGAGUAUGAAGUUGCAUGUUGUGGUAAAGCCAGUUUCAUCGGAUGUGGUUUUAUAGUGAUGCUUAGUGUCCGACUGAGUUUGAUCAAGAUAGAAGUGAAUGUUGAAUGAUGGAUUGCAGAAGGCAAUGAGUUAGUAAGUUCAGGUAAGGUCAGAGGAUUGGUGUUGCUGGUUAAGGGUAUCUUGAACUUUAGAGGAUUAAAGAUAUGGUUUGUAAUUCUGACAAUUUCGAGUUGAAGAAGGUAAUUCUUAAAGAACAAGGUUUUAAGUUAGUCUGGCCGAGAUGAGUGUAAUAAGAAUUCUAAGUGAUGUAGANAUUAUGGAGUUAAUCUAAGGGCUCAUUUUUGAAGUUCAUAUGAAGAAGUUACUUGAUAAGGAAGGAUAGCGAAGUUGGUGCAUCAAGUGUAGUUAAGAAAACGUGGGAGCAAGUGUUAUAGGAAUUCAAGACAUCUAAUAAACGCAAGUGAAGAAUAGUCGAUGUUGUUCUUUCAUAAAUUUGAGGUGUGAUCAUCAAGGGAGGUUUGUUUGUUUUCAAUCGUUUAUGGGGGUUAUGGCCUUCAAAAGAAGUGUUGUGCUUUAAGAAGAAGAAAUGGUGUCACUAAUAUCUUUAUGGAUGGUUCCUGUUGAAGUUGUGUAGUACAAGAAGAAGGUCGGAGUUGGGCUAGAGCAGCAGUGUUUGGACUCAAUGUAAUCAUAGGGAAAAGUACAAGGUUGAAGAAUCUCAGAAGAGAAACAGAGGACAGGUUGGAACAGUCCGGUAUAAGUCUUAACAAUAAGGCGUGAUUCCGAGCAUGGUCGUUUUGUGAAGUAGAAAACAGUGUUGAGGAAAUGGAAUGACAAGAUUAUCAUGGAAGAAAAGAGUUAUCAGAGUUGUUGCAGCGUCAUAGAAGUUUUGAAGAAGAUUCUUCAAGGGUGAUCAUUUUCGGGUUACGGUUGUCAUGAGGAAGUGAUCUUUGAGUCAACUAGUGGACAAGGAAGUUUGAGGAUCAGAGUAGCAUAGCGGAUGACGGUGAGCAUAUUGUUGUCAGUAAUAGGUAUCAAGUAGAGGAGAUAAGGGAGCCUACAGUUUCAAGUUACAGGAUCAACUUUAAAGUGAGGAGGUAUUAAUGGAUUUGGAACAUGAAGAGUGGGUCAGUGGACGAAGGGGAUGAUUUGAGCUAUGGUUUUGAGUUAUGGUUUUGAGUUAUAGCGGUAAUCUAGAGGUAAGGAAAUGUUAACAGAUAGUUUAAACAAAGAGAAUAUUUAGGUUGUUGGUUUGUUACGGGCAGAGAAUAAGAGUUAGUUGAAUAAGUGUGGAGAUUAGUGUCUAAAGGGAAUGUAAUGAAGAGAACUCAUUAGUAUAGUUGAAAAACUAUAACUAGUAAGUUUCUCAAGGUGGUUCAACUAGGGCGAUUGGAUAAAUCCUAGUUUGAGAGGUAUCUUAAGUUGGAUAAGUACUGAUCAAGCUAGUGAUUUCAAGUUGAGUAGGAUAUAGAUCCAAGUAUGGUUCUGUUUGGCAGGUUAAAGGAGCGAAGAUGGAGCGUUCAAUUUGUUUUGGAAGUUGCAAUAGAGAAGAAUUUUUCUUUGGUAAUGAGAUAGUAUAGUUGGAAAUUAUGCUACUCAAGCGUAGAGAUCAAUAAACCAAGGUGAAGUACUCAGAAUGUAUGUGGUUGAAGGUGAUCAAGAUAAUAAUAGUUAGUAGUUAAAUCGGAAGAUAUGAUGAUCAAGUCAGUGGUAUGAUGAUUCUUAGAAGAAGCAAGAAAAGUCAAGAGUUGAUCUAAUUCAAAAAUAGCAGAGAAUAGAAGCGGGGUUAGUAGUGUGGCAGACACUAAUCUUUUCCAAUUUUAAUUUCUCUUCCAUUUCUUUGUAUGUCAUUUAGUAUAUUCUCUCUAGGUAUGCACUUCCCCAUCACACAACAAGAUUGAUUAUGUGAAAUAAAGGUUCUUGAGACCUAAGGUUAAGAAAUUCAGAUUUUGUUUGAGAGUAAUGGCUAGACCAAUCUACACUAUUUGAGCACUAGAGCAUUUUAACACAAAGGCAAGGUUUUCAUGCUAGUGAGGUUAUGGGUAAUAAUAUCUUUGUCAAGAUAGGUGGUUGUACUAGAGAAUGUGUUGAGGAUAGGUUAUUCCUUAUAUCUGAUGAGUGAAUUUUCGAGGACGAAAAUUUUUGAAGUGUGGGAGAAUGUGAGAACCUGAAAAAUGGGUUAAAAGAGGGAACUAGUGUAUUAGGCUAAUAGAACCAAAUUUUAAUAGUAUAAACAGAACCUCUUUAGAACAACCUGGUUCAUUAGCCUAUUUAUGCUUUCUCUCUCUAAAACUCAGAUCUCCAAGUUCUCUGUCUUCUCUCUACCACUUCUUCUCAUUGAACCAUCUUCUCAACAAUCAGGAAGCACGUAGGGAUUCCUGGCGUUGAGAGCUCAAAAUCCCAC